AAACACUGAGACGGUUCAGACAAAUUCAAUGCUGUCACAACGCGUCGGUUUUGUUGCGAAACAACCAACCUGCCUAAAACAAAAGAUAAUUUAGCUUACCAGUCUCAACGUCACUGUUGACGUUGAGACUGGUGUUUUGCAGGUACUAUUUAAUGAAGCUGCAGUUGAGUACUUGUGAGGUGUUUGCGCAACGCAUAGGGUGUUUGCGUUUCACCCCAACGACCAGGGUUCCCGUUCCUGUCUCUCCGUUCACUACAGAUGUGUAACCAUCCCUGGAAAACAAAAUGCUCAAUACGGAAAGGAUCAAUGUUAAGUCAGUUCACAUAAUGGACUAAAUGAACGGAUGGGAUUCAUCUUCCGCUUCUCCCAAGGCCUAUGACUCAAAUUGACAUGAAGCAGGAUGGAUUGGCUGGUAGUUCACAAAUAAAGAAGCUCAGAAAGGUGUGUAUGUGUACAAAGGCUUUGAGAAGAUUGAAGAAAUGGAACGCCUUCAAAUUUGGCGGACAUCACAGAAAUCGAUUAAAUUCGAUUGAUUUCUGCGACAUUUUUGGUUAUCGUUGAGUCCAAAUUCAGCCAUAAAAGAAAGUACAACUGGGUCUUUGGGAUGUUGGAGGUCAACAGAGGUAAUAGAUGACCCGAUUUGAAAAUGGUACCUUCAAGCUCACGCAGAGUACUGAUCCCGAUCAUUAGAAAACAACAUCAAAAGAGGAUCAACCAUCUACAGUGACUCGUGGAGAGCAUAUGUGCAGGCGCUGAAUCCACUAGGUUAUCAGCAUCACACUGUGAACCACAGGCAGAACUUUGUUGAUCCACAUUCGAGCAGCCACACACAGCACAUUGAACGCUCUUUGCAGAUGAUCAAAAAACAGGUCUGGAGACUAAAAGGGAAUCAAUCAGAGAAAAUGUUGAAGAACCAUUUGAAAUGUAUUGAAUGGACUUACUGGUUGGGCAAAAAACACAGGGGAGGCAUCUUCGGACAACUGAUCAACAACAUUAAGAAGAGAUAUAAAGUGUGACUGAAUUUUUUGGAGGGAGAAAAGCACAUAUUGGGCCCAUCUUCAAAUACCGUUGGAGGUGUGGAGAAGUAGAUCUGGAGAUAAUUUCACUUUUGUUCUGUUAUUGAUCUGUCAUUGUAUUUUGUGAUCACAGUAUUUUCAUUUGCCAUAGAAAAUAAAAAAAGCUUAAAAAAAUUAGAUUUAAAAAAAAAUAUUGUUAACUUUACAAAUUACAACAUUAAGAAAGAGAAACUUCUGGAGUAUCGCAAAAUAUGGUUUGGGUCCCUCAGUCCAGAGCUAUUAAAUUAAAAUAAAAGAAGAAGGCAAGGGGAAAGCUUUGGUCUAUAACACCAAAGAUUUGGUAGAUUAACCAUGUUCUGUUAAUUAGGCCAACAUGGUGUUUUGAAAUUUUCCAGUUUGAAUGUUUUUUGCAUCUCCUACAUCAUGAAGCCUAAUAUAUUGAAAAACUCUCUGAAAAAUCUGUUUUAAUUCUUAAAGAAGUGUUUUUCUUUUUCAGUUUAUACUUUUAUGGCAGUUUGCUGUGAGACUUGUGCCUUAGUAGAUCAUUGAAAAAUAUUUGCUUCCGUCGUUUUAUUUUUUUGUGAAAUGCUACCUCAGAUAACCAUUCUUAAAGAAGAAUGUCUGCACCACAUGUUUCGUUGUUCUUUUUCAGUUGAUACAUUUAUGGCAGUUUGCAGACACUUGUGCCUUCGUAGAUUAGUAAAAAAAAUAUUUUUACAAAAAUGUUAAAUUGUGAAAUGAUACCUCGGAUAACAAUGUUUAAGUAAACUAUUCAAAUGUUUUUACAUUACAAAUGUCCUCUCAGGAAAACUAUGGCAAUGUUAUCAUGUAAUAAAGCUGUUCCUAAGAGAUUA